GGUGGGGGGGGGGGGCGGGGCGGGGGCGUGCAGGGCGGGCGAGCGGGGGAGGAGCUUGCUCCUCGGAUGUGCGCGGCGGACGGGUGAGUAGCACGUGGAUAACCUACCUCUAAUACGGGGAUAACUUCGUGAAACCGUAGCUAAUACCGGCUAAUAUUUUGACCCGCAUGGUUCCAACGUGAAAGACGGUCUUGCUGUCACUUAUCGAUGGAUCCGCGCUGCAUUAGCUAUUUGGUAAGGUAACGGCUUACCAAGGCAACGAUGCAUAGCCGACCUGAGAGGGUGAUCGGCCACACUGGAACUGAGACACGGUCCAGACUCCUACGGGAGGCAGCAGUAGGGAAGCUUCCGCAAUGGGCGAAAGCCUGACGGAGCAACGCCGCGUGAGUGAUGAAGGUCUUCGGAUCGUAAAACUCUGGUAUUAGGGAAGAACAUAUGUGUAAGUAACUGUGCACAUCUUGACGGUACCUAAUCAGAAAGCCACGGCUAACUACGUG
rnacentral:rRNA from 1 species